CGAGCGGCGGACGGGUGAGUAAUGCCUAGGAAAUUGCCCUGAUGUGGGGGAUAACCAUUGGAAACGAUGGCUAAUACCGCAUGAUGCCUACGGGCCAAAGAGGGGGACCUUCGGGCCUCUCGCGUCAGGAUAUGCCUAGGUGGGAUUAGCUAGUUGGUGAGGUAAGGGCUCACCAAGGCGACGAUCCCUAGCUGGUCUGAGAGGAUGAUCAGCCACACUGGAACUGAGACACGGUCCAGACUCCUACGGGAGGCAGCAGUGGGGAAUAUUGCACAAUGGGCGCAAGCCUGAUGCAGCCAUGCCGCGUGUGUGAAGAAGGCCUUCGGGUUGUAAAGCACUUUCAGUCGUGAGGAAGGUAGUGUAGUUAAUAGCUGCAUUAUUUGACGUUAGCGACAGAAGAAGCACCGGCUAACUCCGUGCCAGCAGCCGCGGUAAUACGGAGGGUGCGAGCGUUAAUCGGAAUUACUGGGCGUAAAGCGCAUGCAGGUGGUUUGUUAAGUCAGAUGUGAAAGCCCGGGGCUCAACCUCGGAAUUGCAUUUGAAACUGGCAGACUAGAGUACUGUAGAGGGGGGUAGAAUUUCAGGUGUAGCGGUGAAAUGCGUAGAGAUCUGAAGGAAUACCGGUGGCGAAGGCGGCCCCCUGGACAGAUACUGACACUCAGAUGCGAAAGCGUGGGGAGCAAACAGGAUUAGAUACCCUGGUAGUCCACGCCGUAAACGAUGUCUACUUGGAGGUUGUGGCCUUGAGCCGUGGCUUUCGGAGCUAACGCGUUAAGUAGACCGCCUGGGGAGUACGGUCGCAAGAUUAAAACUCAAAUGAAUUGACGGGGGCCCGCACAAGCGGUGGAGCAUGUGGUUUAAUUCGAUGCAACGCGAAGAACCUUACCUACUCUUGACAUCCAGAGAACUUUCCAGAGAUGGAUUGGUGCCUUCGGGAACUCUGAGACAGGUGCUGCAUGGCUGUCGUCAGCUCGUGUUGUG
rnacentral:rRNA from 1 species